ACACGUAGGAGGCAAGCGUUAUCCGGAUUUACUGGGCGUAAAGCGCGUGCAGGCGGUCUGGUAAGUUGGAUGUGAAAGCUCCCGGCUCAACUGGGAGAGGUCGUUCAAAACUGCCGGACUCGAGGACGGUAGAGGGAGGUGGAAUUCCCGGUGUAGUGGUGAAAUGAGUAGAUAUCGGGAGGAACACCAGUGGCGAAGGCGGCCUCCUGGGCCGUUCCUGACGCUAAGACGCGAAAGCGUGGGGAGCGAACGGGAUUAGAAACCCUAGUAGUCC
rnacentral:rRNA from 1 species